rnacentral:rRNA from 2 species
CGUAGACCUCAACUCAGACGUGAUUACCCCCUGAAUUUAAGCAUAGAAAA